ACGGAAGAUGCGAGCGUUAUCCGGAUUUAUUGGGUUUAAAGGGAGCGUAGGCGGGCUUUUAAGUCAGCGGUCAAAUGUCACGGCUCAACCGUGGCCAGCCGUUGAAACUGUAAGCCUUGAGUCUGCACAGGGCACAUGGAAUUCGUGGUGUAGCGGUGAAAUGCUUAGAUAUCACGAAGAACUCCGAUCGCGAAGGCAUUGUGCCGGGGCAGCACUGACGCUGAGGCUCGAAAGUGCGGGUAUCAAACAG
rnacentral:rRNA from 1 species